UGUCAAGUCUCUCUGUUAUCACCUCGAUGCUGCCAUCUCCAUCUCCAAACUGCCGCACUUCAAACCCAGAAAAGAAAAGCCACGCUCCCAUCCCACCACCACCAUCCCCAAAUUCCGGCGAACAGAUAACUCUGCAAAAUCCUUUGCACUAAAAAAGGACUGUUGUACUAAAUCCUCUCCCAAAUUCCCAUGAAACCGAUGGCGAACGCGAACGCGAGUUCGGAGCCUUCACCUCCCUUUUAUUCUUCGCGUUCUCCAUGGUUUCUUCUUUGAACGCUGGAAUGUCUGCAAUGCAAGCGAUUUUUACAAGGAUUUGCAGCAAUCCCGUCAUCAUUUUCAGGUUGGCACCGCCGCGAUGCCUGAUUCAAGAAGUUCAGAUUUGUAAAUUUAUUUUAUCUAUUACAUUCGCACUCUUGUAAACCACGGAGAGGCCACUGGGAGUUAUUUCAACAGCCAGGUAACCGCCAAAUGAAGGUUCAGCCCCCUCCGUUGCCUGAACCCCAGGAUGAGGAAAAUUGGCUGAUGUUGUUCUUGGAUUUGACUUUGUGAAGCCCAAUGUGGUAAAGAUACUCAAAUGGUACAAAUAUGUGGUAAGAGUAGCAUUUUUGCUUAUUAAACGAUUUCUUGUGUAUCCUACUUUUCCUUGCAAACAAGAGUGCUGUCUCGUGUCUAGCAUUCGCAAUGUCGCAUUUUGCCCCUGAAGAAAUCAAAAGCUCGCACAGCGUUGCGUGGCCUUCUCUUCCUGCUAACAUCAACGGAAUGUAUCCAUUGGCAUCAGAAGCACAUCAGAGCCCCUGCUUCUCAAUGUAUGAACAAAAUCUGUGGUGCCGUCUUGUACUGCCUGAUGUAGAGUCCCAUAAAACUCAACAGGACUAUCAAGUACCUUUUGAGGUUUAUGUCAGCCUCAGAGUCGAUAAGCAAUUUGAAACUUUCCAGGUAACCGCCCUCUGGAGAUAUCAUGGCAGCUGAGUAUCCCUUUUCAUCUUGCUCAUUGAGAUCAACGUCUGCCCCCUCAAUCAGUUUCUUCGAAGCCUCAACAUCAUUUGCCUGAGUCACAAGCAUUAGAGCAGAAAAUAUUGAUGUAUGGCUUGAUUGAACAAUUUCACCAGACUGAAUCUACCACUGCUUGUCGGAAGCCACGAGCCCACCUUGCUGACUCUGCUAUUACGCUUGCACUCUGACCAGCAGAAUUCACGGGCACCGUCUGAAGCCAGGAUUUUAAGGCAUUACACUUACACUCUGCUAUUCCUGCACUUUCACUCUCUCUCACAGUGAUGAACUUAUUCUAUUGCACAAAUAGUACAAAACCGUAGCAUAUCCACAAGGAUCUCUUGCUCCUGGACUCAAGUGGUGUUGGGAAGACAUCAUCGCUACUCACCUUUUGGUCUCAUCGCUCAAAUCAAACAAUUCUCAACCUUUGCCUGCAUUCAGCCCCUAUUGGGAUAUUUGGGACUCACUUAAGUCCCUAAUGUGAUUUCCAAACCAAGUCCUUUUGGUUGGGGUUGUUAUUCUUGACUCCCUUAAACUUCCGAUUAGUUGGAGUCACUAUUGUUCUCUUUUAAGACAAGUAUGCAUGUGUUAUUUAUUGUCAUGAUCAAAUAGCUCAAGAGAGUCGAGUUAUAUGAAUUUAUGGUAUCUACUCCCUCCUGAGUUCAAAUAUCUUUCGUUAUCAACAAGCUGACAACGUACAAGUUCAGAAACUCCAGAAAGCGGUAAUGGAUGGUGGAAUCGUGGUGAUCUGUGCACUCUUGGCAAGGAGAAGACUUAAUAGAUCCUUGCGGCUUGAACGCAGGAGCAAGAGAUCCUUGCGGCUAUGCUAAAGUAUUGUUCCUUUUUAUUACAAGUGAGAGUUUGAAUCCGAGACACUGUUUGAAAAUUAAUUGGAAAAAGAGAGGGAUUGCUCAGUGGCACGAAGUCGUUUCCUAGCUACCUGUAUUAUACUCUCACGAUCAUCAGGAACUGCUGCAACAUCCACUUUCUUUGGCAAAUCAGAAAGAUUUCCCUCCAGCUGCUCUUCAAUAUGACCGAUCCCGCCACUGCAUAAAAGGUUAAAGCUUCUUGAUAUCUAGAUUAUUUACUUUGUCCAGAAUGGGUGUGACCCAAGCAAUAUUCACGGCACAUACAGUGCGCAGGAAUGGGCAGGUUGUUGCAAUGAGUCCAGGUGUUUCCUUACAUCCUUGACAAACUUCAUCCCUCUCACCUACAAUCAAUGAGUUCCAGAAACAUAACAAGCAAAUGCUGUCGCCAAUGCCCUGAAUAUAUCAGGCUUUUCUUAUACAGAUAACAUAGCAGCAACAGUCAAAGCCUGGGAUAAUCAGCCAUACUCAUUUGCCUCCACUUAAGUCUUUGACAGUGAAGGUUCUAGCGGAAGCUCCGCAAAAAAUCAAGGAAAUACUUGGCAGACUCAUCAAAGAUUUAAAAGGAAAAUGCUCAAUGUGCACAAAACCAAUGGGGAAUCACUUCUAACACCAGUAACAGAUAGUACAGGAACAAAAAGCCCAAGUAGGAAUGAGUUGCAAAACUUUUGUGAAUACAUAUCUGACACUUCUAUUACAGUCCAGCUAAGGUUAUGAAUGAUGUAUAAAAUUUUAAGAUUUAAGUUGGUACACAAUGUUAAGACUCAAA